rnacentral:rRNA from 1 species
GAUGAACGCUGGCGGCGUGCCUAAUACAUGCAAGUCGAGCGAACAGACGAGGAGCUUGCUCCUCUGACGUUAGCGGCGGACGGGUGAGUAACACGUGGAUAACCUACCUAUAAGACUGGGAUAACUUCGGGAAACCGGAGCUAAUACCGGAUAAUAUAUUGAACCGCAUGGUUCAAUAGUGAAAGACGGUUUUGCUGUCACUUAUAGAUGGAUCCGCGCCGCAUUAGCUAGUUGGUAAGGUAACGGCUUACCAAGGCAACGAUGCGUAGCCGACCUGAGAGGGUGAUCGGCCACACUGGAACGGAGACACGGUCCAGACUACUACGGGAGGCAGCAGUAGGGAAUCUGCCGCAAAGGGCGAAAGCCUGACGGAGCAACGCCGCGUGAGUGAUGAAGGUCUUCGGAUCGUAAAACUGUGUUAUUAGGGAAGAACAAAUGUGUAAGUAACUAUGCACGUCUUGACGGUACCUAAUCAGAAAGCCACGGCUAACUACGUG